rnacentral:rRNA from 1 species
UGAAGCUGGCGGUAUGCUUUACACAUGCAAGUCGAACGGCAGCAUAGGUGCUUGCACCUGAUGGCGAGUGGCGAACGGGUGAGUAAUGCAUCGGAACGUGCCCAGUCGUGGGGGAUAACGCAGCGAAAGCUGUGCUAAUACCGCAUACGAUCUAUGGAUGAAAGCGGGGGACCUUCGGGCCUCGCGCGAUUGGAGCGGCCGAUGUUAGAUUAGGUAGUUGGUGAGGUAAAGGCUCACCAAGCCUACGAUCUAUAGCUGGUCUGAGAGGACGACCAGCCACACUGGAACUGAGACACGGUCCAGACUCCUACGGGAGGCAGCAGUGGGGAAUUUUGGACAAUGGGCGAAAGCCUGAUCCAGCAAUACCGCGUGCAGGAAGAAGGCCUUCGGGUUGUAAACUGCUUUUGUACGGAACGAAACGGUCUAGAUUAAUACUCUGGGCUAAUGACGGUACCGUAAGAAUAAGCACCGGCUAACUACGUGCCAGCAGCCGCGGUAAUACGUAGGGUGCAAGCGUUAAUCGGAAUUACUGGGCGUAAAGCGUGCGCAGGCGGUUUUGUAAGACAGGCGUGAAAUCCCCGGGCUCAACCUGGGAAUUGCGCUUGUGACU